rnacentral:rRNA from 1 species
UCCUACGGGAGGCAGCAGUAGGGAAUUUUCGUCAAUGGGCGCAAGCCUGAACGAGCAAUGCCGCGUGUGGGAUGAAGGCCCUCGGGUUGUAAACCACUUUUGUAGAGAACGAAAAGACACCUUCGAAUAAAGGGUGUUGCUGACGGUACUCUAAGAAUAAGCACCGGCUAACUACGUGCCAGCAGCCGCGGUAAUACGUAGGGUGCGAGCGUUAAUCGGAAUUACUGGGUGUAAAGGGUGCGCAGGCGGUUGAGUAAGACAGAUGUGACAUCCCCGAGCUUAACUCGGGA